rnacentral:tRNA from 1 species
AGGAUAAUAGUUAAYCAUAAUAUUUGGUUUGCAAUCAAAAGGUGUUGUUACUACAACUUAUCUUA